CUUCAGUCCAGGGCUGAGUCAGCGGAGCCCCGAGUGGCUUCCCUGGCUGGCACCUGGACGUAGGC
ensembl:miRNA Mir1956 microRNA 1956